GAUUAAGUUAUUAAGGGCGCACGGUGGAUGCCUUGGCACUAGAAGCCGAUGAAGGACGUUACUAACGACGAUAUGCUUUGGGGAGCUGUAAGUAAGCUUUGAUCCAGAGAUUUCCGAAUGGGGAAACCCAGCAUGAGUUAUGUCAUGUUAUCGAUAUGUGAAUACAUAGCAUAUCAGAAGGCACACCCGGAGAACUGAAACAUCUUAGUACCCGGAGGAAGAGAAAGAAAAUUCGAUUCCCUUAGUAGCGGCGAGCGAAACGGGAAGAGCCCAAACCAACAAGCUUGCUUGUUGGGGUUGUAGGACACUCUAUACGGAGUUACAAAGGACGACAUUAGACGAAUCAUCUGGAAAGAUGAAUCAAAGAAGGUAAUAAUCCUGUAGUCGAAAAUGUUGUCUCUCUUGAGUGGAUCCUGAGUACGACGGAGCACGUGAAAUUCCGUCGGAAUCUGGGAGGACCAUCUCCUAAGGCUAAAUACUCUCUAGUGACCGAUAGUGAACCAGUACCGUGAGGGAAAGGUGAAAAGCACCCCGGAAGGGGAGUGAAAUAGAACCUGAAACCGUGUGCUUACAA
rnacentral:rRNA from 1 species